UGCCGGUAGGCCCUACCACAUGCAAAGUCGAACGGCAGCACAGAGAAGCUUGCUCCUUGGGUGGCGAGUGGCGGACGGGGAGGAAUACAUCGGAAUCUACUCUGUCGUGGGGGAUAACGUAGGGAAACUUACGCUAAUACCGCAUACGACCUACGGGUGAAAGCAGGGGAUCUUCGGACCUUGCGCGAUUGAAUGAGCCGAUGUCGGAUUAGCUAGUUGGCGGGGUAAAGGCCCACCAAGGCGACGAUCCGUAGCUGGUCUGAGAGGAUGAUCAGCCACACUGGAACUGAGACACGGUCCAGACUCCUACGGGAGGCAGCAGUGGGGAAUAUUGGACAAUGGGCGCAAGCCUGAUCCAGCCAUACCGCGUGGGUGAAGAAGGCCUUCGGGUUGUAAAGCCCUUUUGUUGGGAAAGAAAUCCAG
rnacentral:rRNA from 1 species